CCCUUAGACGUUCUGGGCCGCACGCGCGCUACACUGACGAAGGCAACGAGCUUUCCUUUACCGAAAGGUACGGGUAAUCUUUUGAAACUUCGUCGUGCUGGGGAUAGAUCCUUGCAAUUUUUGAUCUUAAACGAGGAAUUCCUAGUAAGCGCAAGUCAUCAACUUGCGUUGAUUGCGUCCCUGCCCUUUGUACACACCGCCCGUCGCUACUACCGAUUGAAUGGUUUAGUGAGGCCUUCGGAUCCGCGACUCGUUUUGUGGAGAAGUUGGACAAACUCAGUCAUUUAGAGGAAGUAAAAGUCGUAACA
rnacentral:rRNA from 1 species